GACGAACGCUGGCGGCGUGCCUAAUACAUGCAAGUCGAACGCUUCUUUCCUCCCGAGUGCUUGCACUCAAUUGGAAAGAGGGGUGGCGGACGGGUGAGUAACACGUGGGUAACCUACCCAUCAGAGGGGGAUAACACUUGGAAACAGGUGCUAAUACCGCAUAACAGUUUAUGCCGCAUGGCAUAAGAGUGAAAGGCGCUUUCGGGUGUCGCUGAUGGAUGGACCCGCGGUGCAUUAGCUAGUUGGUGAGGUAACGGCUCACCAAGGCCACGAUGCAUAGCCGACCUGAGAGGGUGAUCGGCCACACUGGGACUGAGACACGGCCCAGACUCCUACGGGAGGCAGCAGUAGGGAAUCUUCGGCAAUGGACGAAAGUCUGACCGAGCAACGCCGCGUGAGUGAAGAAGGUUUUCGGAUCGUAAAACUCUGUUGUUAGAGAAGAACAAGGACGUUAGUAACUGAACGUCCCCUGACGGUAUCUAACCAGAAAGACACGGCUAACUACGUG
rnacentral:rRNA from 1 species